GAGGGUAGAGCUCAGUGGCAGAGCACAUGCUUACCAUGCACGAGGUCCUGGGUUCAAUCCCCAGUACCUCCU
rnacentral:tRNA from 1 species